rnacentral:rRNA from 1 species
AGUGACAGCGUACCUUUUGUAUAAUGGGUCAGCGACUUAAUCUAGCAAGCAAGCUUAAACCGUUAGGUGUAGGCGUAGCGAAAGCGAGUCUUAAUAGGGCGACUAAGUUUGUUGGAUUAGACCCGAAACCGAGUGAUCUAGGUAUGAGCAGGUUGAAGGUGCAGUAACAUGCACUGGAGGACCGAACCCACGCCUGUUGAAAAAGGCGGGGAUGACUUGUGCCUAGGGGUGAAAGGCCAAUCAAACUCGGAAAUAGCUGGUUCUCCGCGAAAUCUAUUUAGGUAGAGC